UACGUAGGGACCAAGCGUUGUCCGGAUUUACUGGGCGUAAAAGGUUCGUAGGUGGCUCGUCCAGUCGAGCGUGAAAUCUCCCGGCUUAACUGGGAGAGGUCGUUCGAUACUAGCGGGCUCGAGGUCGGUAGAGGGGAGCGGAAUUCCGGGUGUAGUGGUGGAAUACGUAGAUAUCCGGAGGAACACCAGUGGCGAAGGCGGCUUCCUGGACCGAUUCUGACACUGAGGAACGAAAGCGUGGGGAGCGAUCCGG
rnacentral:rRNA from 1 species